CCUUUAAUUUAGGAAUUAUUUCUUAAAUUGAGAAUUUAAGUUCAUUAAUUUUCAUAGACAUUGAAUAUUUUUUAAUUACCUUUGAUAUUUUUGAAUUACCUUUGAUUUGAUCCUAAUAAAACUUGUUUGCUGAGUUGUUGAAAGCAUUCUUUAUUAGCAUCUCUUUUUAAUUAGACUGAAAUAUGCUGUGUGAAUCAGCUUAGGGAAGCAGAGGGGAUUCCAAAGAAUCAAGCAAAAAAAGGUUGUAAAUUAGUAAAGGCUGCAGGGGUAAGUCCAGAUGUAGAAAACGCAGAAGGACAGAUGACACGGAACCGUGUCCCAGGAAGGAAGUGACAGACACACAGCCUGUUGGGAAGAGAAACGCUGAGCUGCAGGAUUAGGGGCAGAAGCACCAUCCUGUUAGUCUACUGGGUGUUGUUUGGCGUUAGAAGGAUGACGGCUCUUGUUUCUGGCUUUGCAGUUUAAGUGGGAUGGAUUUAGAAGAGCCCCACGAACGUUGUUAAAGUGUUGAGGUGGGUGGAAGGCUCUAUGAAUCACGUAGGUUGUCACUCAGUCCCCAGAAGCAGGGAGAGGAGGCGUCUACAGUCAACUCUGCCUCGGUCUCAAGAAACUGCUUUAUUACUGUUUCCUUCCAGGCCCGCUAGGUGGUGCUCAAAUUACUGCACAGAAUUCCAUGACCUCUAGCAGGAUACAAAGAUGUUAACCCUUAGAACCCAAGGCAGACGGUAUUCUUCGAUUUGAGCUCAUAUGAAGAUCUCGUAUAUCGAGAGGACCACCAAGACUUUUAAAAUAUUGUGUGAUAUAAAAAUAUCUAUGUACAGAAGUUGAAAAAAAUGCUACCUCAGAGUCAAGGUUAGCAUUGUUGGUGGAAGUGGAUUUCGUUCAAUAUUUUUUCUAUUAAGCUUCUGUUACACUAGGUUCUGGGGCAUUUAUGAGGAUUUCAAUUUAUGUUUUUUUAUCUUUUGGCUACGAACACUGUUAAGAAGUUGUUCUUCCUCAUUUGUACAUAGUUUUUCAAUGUCACCUCCAAAAUGGAUAAACUACGGAUCAAUAAUUCUACCAUAUGCAAUGAUUUGGAGGAAAAAGAGAAAAAGGCAAGCAGAAUGAAAUACCAAUUGUGGAAUCAAGAAAAUAAGACUAGAGGACACAGCAGAGGACAAAACAGCCAAAAAUGUACCCUCAUGGGGCCAAGGUGUCGCAGGUCAAUUUGUUCUGUGUCCAACCUGCUUGAGUGUGAACGUCCCAGCGAGGCACCCAAAAGGGGAGGGAGAUUUUUUAUUGGCAUGCAGGACUGUAUCAAUUUAAGAUGUAUGGCAUAAUGAUCUGACUUACAUACAUCACGAAAUGAGGACCAUAAUAGGUUCAGUGAACAUCCAUCACCUCAUAUAAAUAUAAUAUUGAAUGAGAUGCAGUGAGAAUCUGAGAUCUGCUCUCCUGACAACUUUCGUAUAUAACAUGCAGCAGUGUUGGUUAUAUUUAUCAUGUUGUACUUGACACUUACUUAUCUUAUAACUGGGAGUUUGUGUCUUUGAUUGCCUUCCUCCAAUUCCCACUCCCCCUACCCUUUGCCUCUGGUAACCACAAAUCUCAUCUCUUUUCCUAUGAGUUUGUUUGUUUUUGAAGUGCAAUUGACUCACAACACCAUGUUAGUUCCUGUUACACAACAGUGAUUCGGUACUUCUGUACAUUACAAAAUGAUCACUAUGAUAAGUUACCAUCUGUCAACAUACAAAAUUAUGUGUAUUACAUAAUUAUGGACUAUAUUUCCCACACUGUACAUUUCAUCCUUUUUGAAAAGGAUGACUCAUUUAUUUUGCAACUGGAAGGUUGAACCUCGUAAUCUCCCUCAACGAUUUCUCUCCUUUCCUCUGCUCCCUGCU